rnacentral:rRNA from 1 species
AUUGAACGCUGGCGGCAUGCUUUACACAUGCAAGUCGAACGGCAGCGCGGGCUUCGGCCUGGCGGCGAGUGGCGAACGGGUGAGUAAUGCAUCGGAACGUGCCCAGUAGUGGGGGAUAGCCCGGCGAAAGCCGGAUUAAUACCGCAUACGACCUGAGGGUGAAAGCGGGGGACCGAAAGGCCUCGCGCUAUUGGAGCGGCCGAUGUCGGAUUAGCUAGUUGGUGGGGUAAAGGCUUACCAAGGCGACGAUCCGUAGCUGGUCUGAGAGGACGACCAGCCACACUGGGACUGAGACACGGCCCAGACUCCUACGGGAGGCAGCAGUGGGGAAUUUUGGACAAUGGGGGCAACCCUGAUCCAGCCAUGCCGCGUGCGGGAAGAAGGCCUUCGGGUUGUAAACCGCUUUUGUUCGGGAAGAAAUCCUCUGGGCUAAUACCCCGGGGGGAGGACGGGACCGGAAGAAUAAGCACCGGCGAACUACGU